GACGAACGCUGGCGGCGUGCCUAAUACAUGCAAGUCGAGCGAAUCGAUGGGAGCUUGCUCCCUGAGAUUAGCGGCGGACGGGUGAGUAACACGUGGGUAACCUGCCUGUAAGACUGGGAUAACUUCGGGAAACCGGCGCUAAUACCGGAUACUUUCUUUUCUCGCACGAGGAGAGAUGGAAAGAUGGUUCUGCUAUCACUUACAGAUGGACACGCGGCGCAUUAGCUAGUUGGCGAGGUAACGGCUCACCAAGGGGACGAUGCGUAGCCGACCUGAGAGGGUGAUCGGCCACACUGGGACUGAGACACGGCCCAGACUCCUACGGGAGGCAGCAGUAGGGAAUCUUCCGCAAUGGACGAAAGUCUGACGGAGAAACGCCGCGUGAGCGAAGAAGGCCUUCGGGUCGUAAAGCUCUGUUGUUAGGGAAGAACAAGUACGAGAGUAACUGCUCGUACCUUGACGGUACCUAACCAGAAAGCCACGGCUAACUACGUGCCAGCAGCCGCCGUAAAAC
rnacentral:rRNA from 1 species